rfam:Myotis brandtii contig288248, whole genome shotgun sequence.
GCCGGUGUGGCUCAGUGGAUAGAGCGUUGGCCUGCAGACCAAAGGGUCCCAGGUUCAAUUCCAGUCAAGGGCA